rnacentral:rRNA from 1 species
CCUACGGGUGGCAGCAGUGGGGAAUAUUGGACAAUGGGCGAAAGCCUGAUCCAGCCAUGCCGCGUGUGUGAAGAAGGCCUUCGGGUUGUAAAGCACUUUCAGUGGGGAAGAAAGCCUUGGGGCUAAUACCCUCGAGGAAGGACAUCACCCACAGAAGAAGCACCGGCUAACUCCGUGCCAGCAGCCGCGGUAAUACGGAGGGUGCGAGCGUUAAUCGGAAUUACUGGGCGUAAAGCGCGCGUAGGCGGUCUGAUAAGCCGGUUGUGAAAGCCCCGGGCUCAACCUGGGAACGGCAUCCGGAACUGUCAGGCUAGAGUGCAGGAGAGGAAGGUGGAAUUCCCGGUGUAGCGGUGAAAGGCGUAGAGAUCGGGAGGAAUACCAGUGGCGAAGGCGGCCUUCUGGACUGACACUGACGCUGAGGUGCGAAAGCGUGGGUAGCAAACAGGAUUAGAUACCCUAGUAGUC